rnacentral:misc_RNA from 1 species
AAUUUAUUAAAUUAAUAAAUUUUUAAAAAAUUAAUACUUUAUCUUCCACUAGCUUUAAUUUUCAUACACUGAUUCACUGCUCGUCGUCGCUGCCUCGGAUCUUCAAAAAGGAUAUUUAAUCUGAAACUCACUCAUCUCUGGCAUCCUGGAACCAUUCCUCUAGAUCUCUCUGAUUUAUCCAAAUCUGGAACAUGGGCUCGGAACCUGAUCAACUUCACAUCCUUCUCUUCCCUCUAAUGGCACAAGGCCAUAUGCUUCCACUUUUAGACAUAGCCAGGCUCUUUGUAGCAAGAGGGGUUAAAGCCACCAUUAUCACCACCCCUGUAAACGCACCUCGCUUCACAAAAUCAAUACAAACACCCCAAGAUUCAUAUACCCAAAUCAACCUCAAGAUCAUCAAAUUCCCCUGCCAAGAAGCUGGAUUACCAGAUGGUCUCGAAAAUCUUGAUAUGGUCUCUGAUCAACAUAUUCACCGGAAGUUCUUUGAUGCAUUAUCUUUGCUUCAAGAACCUCUGGAGCAAGCCAUAGAAGAGUUGCGUCCACAUGGUCUUGUUUCAGACAUAUUCUUUCCAUGGACUACUGAUGUAGCUUCCAAGUAUGGGAUUCCAAGGCUAAUCUUUCAUGGUACUAGCUUCAUUUCCAUGUGUUGCAAGGCGAAUAUCGAACAACAUCAGCCUCACAAGAAAGUAUCUUCUGACACUGAGCCUUUUAUCUUGCCUGGGUUGCCUGAUCCGCUCAAGUUCACAAAAUUACAACUACCAGAUACCUUUACACAACAGAACCCGACUGUUUUUUCAAGAUUGCUGGGCAGUGCCAAAGAAGUUGAGGAAAGAAGCUAUGGGAUGAUAGUUAACAGUUUUUAUGAACUGGAAUCAAGCUAUGCUGAUUAUUACAGGAAAGUUUUGGGAAGGAAAGCUUGGCAUAUUGGACCAGUUUCACUUUGCAACAGGAACUUUGAAGAAAAGGCUCAAAGAGGAAGGGCAGCAAGCAUAAGCGAACAUGAGUGUGUGAAAUGGCUUGAUGCAAAGAAAUUCAAUUCGGUUAUUUAUGUAUGCUUUGGUACUGUUACAAAGUUUUCCGACUCUCAGCUACAUGAGAUUGCAAUAGGGCUUGAAGCUUCAGGGCAAGAUUUUAUCUGGGUUGUUAGGAAAGACAAGAAUGAAAAAGAAUCUGAGGAGAAAUGGUUGCCUGAUGGAUAUGAGGGAAGAAUCCAAGGGAAGGGACUAAUUAUCAGAGGGUGGGCACCACAAGUUUUGAUUCUUGAUCAUGAAGCUAUUGGUGGGUUUGUGACUCAUUGUGGAUGGAAUUCUACUUUAGAAGGUGUGAGUGCUGGGUUACCAAUGGUAACCUGGCCCAUUUUUGCUGAACAGUUUUUCAAUGAGAAAUUGAUUACUGAUGUUUUGAGGAUCGGAGUUGGGGUUGGUGCUCAAAAAUGGAUGAGAAUGGUGGGAGAUUAUGUGACUAGUGAAAAGAUAGAGAAGGCAGUGAAGGAGAUUAUGAUGGGUGAGAAAGCAGAGGAAAUGAGGAGCAGAGCAAAGAAGAUUGGAGAAAUGGCAAAGGAAGCCACUGAAGAAGGAGGCUCAUCUUACAAUGAUCUGGGUGCUUUGAUUGAAGAAUUGAAGGCUCAUCACGCUUGAAGCCUGCAACAAUUAUUCUCACUAAUGCAUGCCUAGUUUGUGAUGGAAUUAGUACUUUUGUUGUAAUCCUUUAAUUUUACAUGCAACAUAUAUUGCCGCUUAGAUUUAGCGUAUUGUAAUUAAUGUGCGUUUUCCCUUGGAAAAUUUUUAAUCUCAUUACCCUUAUGAUACUCAAUUAAUUCAUUUUUAAUUACGCAAUU